UCAAUGUACUGCCCCUCGUCAGCCUGCAGUGUGCUCGGAAACGGCCUGCUAAGCAAAUAGGAAACUAUCUCUGAAGCAGAGGACCUGGGAAUAAGGUCAGUGUCGAAGUGUGAAUUCAGCAUUGCUCUCCUUUGGCAUUCUGAGCUGUACUUACACUGCCACUGAAUUACCAUCUCCAUCUUUCUAGUGCCAGUCCUGAAGGGAGAAGGGAUCCAUUACUAAGUUUUGAGCUUUUGUCAGCUCAGUAGCCUUCUAACUAAACAGAACUUUAGUGCUUAGGCAAGCAAGAUUGAUAUUGAUUUUGACCUUCUGUAAAGUUUUUGUGGUUCUGAUGCAGCAAGAGCUUUUUCAAAAAUGUGCUGCAAUAAAAGAAUUCACUUUUAAAGCAGUGCAUUAGAAGAUGGCACAAAUCGAUGAACAUCCCAUGGAAGCAGAAGUUCUCUCAGUGAAUUUUGUUCGCAAAUGCUGGGCUGGAGAUAAAAUAAGUGGUCUUUGAUACAGAGCUGUCAAGUCUUCUGUGGAUGCUCAUUUUUGUAGGGAUGUUGCAGGUAGGUUUACUGCAAAGACCUGUGUAACCUGAGGGCAGUCCAAGUAGCAGCACAAGUGGCAAGCAGUCAGCCUGAACACUGAGGCUUAAGGGGAACAAGCCAUGCGAGGCACCAGCCAUGAUGUUUUCCUUAAGCUGCUGUGCUGACAGCAGCAUGGAAACUUGUCCUCAAAGCAAGGCAGAUUCCAGUUCUGGAGAGUGAAGAAUCCCAGCUUCUACAGCUGCUGGUCAUUCCAGAGGCUUUGGUGGUGCUCAUCACCCAUCUCCAGACGCCAUUUAGACAAGGAAUUCAAAUGGUUCAAUGAUUCAAAUCUUUUGCGAAGAAAUCACACAACAGAAGAUCCCAAAGAUCUGAUGCUAGGAAACAAAAGUGACACUGCCCUAGCAAAGGGAAUUCAGCCUCAAAGAUGAGCAGUAACAACACUUGUAGGAGGAGAACUGAUGGGGAGAACGCACUUACGGAGCAGUCUGGUUAACUCAGUUUCUCAGCUGGAAGGAACCUGGUGAAUGGAAUCGCUGUGUGACUAAUGAGCUGUCUGUGGAACAUCUGCAGUCUCAAUACCUGCAUCUCCAGUGAAAAUAGUCUGGGAACUUCUGCCUUAAUGAAACUUCAGACCACAUACCUAGAAAAGACAGGGGAAAUUAGAACUGGACCAGUGUAUGUAGAAGGUCGGGCUACAGCGACAGAACACCAGCUCCCCAACUUCCAACCAGCACCUCAGAUGCAGGAGUUGGAGUUAGAAGAUUCAGACAUCAAGUGAAACAGUGAAAGAUGAUAAGAAAACUCUUCAUUCUCACAAGCAACAGAAGUAUGGCUGUCAUGGUUUGACACAUCAAUGAAGAACAGCCUCUGCUCUGCAGCAGGUACUCAAGUGGAACUUUUGCAAGUGGGCUCUCAUCAGGAGUGAAACACUGGCUGCUGACUCUGCUGCUUUUGCUCACAGACUGCUGCCUUUAGGAACCAGCCAUCUCUUCAGGGACUACUUUAAAUCCCAGAAUGUUCAAGAGCCAUCACUGUACAAACAGAAGCUCCAACUGAACGAAACCAGAAGAAGUGGAUAUGGCAAAUUCUCUGGUCCAAGUGGUGAUAUUAAUCUGGAUGGAAUUUGGACUUUGCCCACCAGUGCAGUCCUUGCUAUAGGCAGAUGUUUCUUCUGUUCUUACAGCAGUAGGAGUGGUUGGACACUGAACCUCAAAGAAGAGGGAGCUAACAUCCCUUAGCUUUAUAAGUCCCACAGAAAAAUGAAUAUGUAGACAUCUGCCUGGACUAAUCAAGUAAUCACUGCUCUUUGUGACCUUCAAUGCCGUUCUUCACUCAAAAACCUCAAAGCACAAAGAAUUUUUCUGAGGCAGAAAGCCACGCACAGUGGAGCUGUUUGUGCAUUGAGGGCAAUCUCCUUUGGCUUUCUUGAGCUCAAGUUCUUCAAGCAAGUAUUAGUGUGAACAGCAGCAGCUUAAAGCACUCCCUAAUCUUAAAGAGACCAUAAGUAACACACUGCUUGAACAAGUCACUGUAGAUUGAAGCAUCUUUGAGAUUAAUUACAUUAUAUCUUGGGGAUUAGAAGAAAUGGGGAAAAUAUGUGAGAAAUGAGGAGAGCAAAUUAUUGUCUUUCAAUGAAGUAAGUACCAACUCAGAUCAUGUCAUACAUUAU